UCCAACACAAACCUCAUUAUACUCCCAUGCAGGCAGGUAUGCACAUGAUCAAUAUUCAAGCAACUCUCUAGGAAACACUCUCUCCUCUAUUUCAUGCAUUCUGAUGCAUGUGCCACUGUGAACCACAUAUGCAUGUCUGGCAUAAUAACAUGUAAAUGUGGUGGACAAUUCUGUUGUAUCUAACUCAUCUAAGAAGCUGUGUUCUACAAGUUUAACUUCAAGGUACAAACACAGAGGAAACGGCACGGGUGAGAACAUCAAAGCUGAGUGUUGCUGUUCCCCCAGUACCUGCUCCAGUUUCCACAAGAACUUGACGGGCCGUGCAGCGGAGACGUCGGGCCAGUAGAAGAGAGAGAGGCGACAGCCGUGGACGGAGAGGGAGUAGUGGGAGAAGGAGUCGUCUGCAGCGCAGGAGACCAGGAGAGAAAAAACAAGAGAAUUGGAGUGCUGCACACGAUGGUCUCCUCGUCUUUGCGACUUCCUCUGGUCUGAGUGGUCGAGGGCUGGAUGUUGGCGCCGCCCCUUCGAAUCCACAGCUGCAGGGUGAAGUGGUCGCCUGACAACGCGGAGACAACCGAAUCCGG